rnacentral:rRNA from 1 species
CGGGUGAGUAACGCGUGGGUAACCUGCCUCAUACAGGGGGAUAACAGUUAGAAAUGACUGCUAAUACCGCAUAAGCGCACAGGACCGCAUGGUCUGGUGUGAAAAACUCCGGUGGUAUGAGAUGGACCCGCGUCUGAUUAGCUAGUUGGUGAGGUAACGGCCCACCAAGGCGACGAUCAGUAGCCGACCUGAGAGGGUGACCGGCCACAUUGGGACUGAGACACGGCCCAA